GGGGAUAACCACGGGAAACUGUGGCUAAUACCGCAUGAUCUUGAAAAAGCAAAGGUGGCCUCUGUUUACAUGCUAUCGCUUAUAGAUCGGCCUACGUCCCAUUAGCUAGUUGGUGGGGUAAUGGCCUACCAAGGCGACGAUGGGUAGCUGGUCUGAGAGGAUGAUCAGCCACACUGGAACUGAGACACGGUCCAGACUCCUACGGGAGGCAGCAGUAGGGAAUCUUGCACAAUGGACGAAAGUCUGAUGCAGCAACGCCGCGUGAGUGAAGAAGGCCCUUGGGUUGUAAAGCUCUUUCGGCUGGGAAGAAGGGUGUCGUAGCUAAUAUCUACGAUAUUUGACGGUACCAGAAGAAGAAGCACCGGCUAACUCCGUGCCAGCAGCCGCGGUAAUACGGAGGGUGCAAGCGUUGUUCGGAAUUACUGGGCGUAAAGCGCACGUA
rnacentral:rRNA from 1 species